rnacentral:lncRNA from 1 species
UUGUGAUCUCAACCACCCAUUACUUCCUUGGCUUUCUGAAUCCUCCAAGGUUCUCCACCCUACUAUAAAUACACAACAGCUCCCUUAUUGCCACUACAAACCAAAGAGAGUAACCUUUGAACUUUCUUCAUCUCAAAAUCUCUUUAAGCCUCUGUUUAAUAUCUCUGUGUCAAAAAAGAGUUAUGGGAGGCAACAACAGGCAGAAAACACCCUCCUCCUCCUCAUUCUUCAGCUUGUUCAAGUCGAGGAGGCCUCGCAGGGG